ensembl:miRNA pny-mir-2187b pny-mir-2187b
UUUAAUUAGUACAGCCUGUAUUAGUAAUGUCAUCUAUUCUUUACAGGCUAUGCUAAUCUAUGC